GGGAGCUUGCUCCUGGAUUUAGCGGCGGACGGGUGAGUAAAGCCUAGGAAUCUGCCUGGUAGUGGGGGACAACGACUCGAAAGGGUCGCUAAUACCGCAUACGUCCUACGGGAGAAAGUGGGGGAUCUUCGGACCUCACGCUAUCAGAUGAGCCUAGGUCGGAUUAGCUAGUAGGUGAGGUAAUGGCUCACCUAGGCGACGAUCCGUAACUGGUCUGAGAGGAUGAUCAGUCACACUGGAACUGAGACACGGUCCAGACUCCUACGGGAGGCAGCAGUGGGGAAUAUUGGACAAUGGGCGAAAGCCUGAUCCAGCCAUGCCGUGUGUGUGAAGAAGGUCUUCGGAUUGUAAAGCACUUUAAGUUGGGAGGAAGGGUUGUAGUUUAAUACGCUGCAACUUUGACGUUACCAGCAGAAUAAGCACCGGCUAACUCUGUGCCAGCAGCCGCGGUAAUACAGAGGGUGCAAGCGUUAAUCGGAAUUACUGGGCGUAAAGCGCGCGUAGGCGGCUUGAUAAGAUGGGUGUGAAAUCCCCGGGCUUAACCUGGGAACUGCAUCCAUAACUGUCUGGCUAGAGUACAGUAGAGGGUGGUGAAAUUUCCUGUGUAGCGGUGAAAUGCGUAGAUAUAGGAAGGAACACCAGUGGCGAAGGCGACCACCUGGACUGAUACUGACGCUGAGGUGCGAAAGCGUGGGGAGCAAAC
rnacentral:rRNA from 1 species